AGGGGAUCAAGCUUAGAAGCCCGACGCAAGCUUGCUUGCAGGCGGGAUUAUAAGUUUGAGACCCACUCCCCACAUGAGUAAGUAGCCAUUUUUUCGAAGAAAAAAUGAGCGGAUUACGAAUGUGGGGGGCAGGAUUGCGGGAGCACGAAGUGCGGAGCAAUCCGGUU
rnacentral:sRNA from 1 species